UACCAGCGGCCCUAGUGGUGAUCGUUAUUAUUGGGCCUAAAGCGUCCGUAGCCGGCUCGGUAAAUCUCUGGGUAAAUCGAUAGGCUUAACCUAUCGAAUUCUGGGGAGACUGCCGGGCUUGGGAUCGGGAGAGGUCGGAGGUACUCCAGGGGUAGGGGUGAAAUCCUGUAAUCCUUGGGGGACCACCGGUGGCGAAGGCGUCCGACCAGAACGAGUCCGACGGUAAGGGACGAAGCCCUGGGGCGCAAACCGG
rnacentral:rRNA from 1 species